rnacentral:lncRNA from 1 species
CACAUUUGUUGAAAUUUAUUUCGCUCUCUUACUGGUUAUAAUAUUGACUAAUUUACUUACGUAAAAUCUCAUCGUCAAAACUCGAUAUUUUUACUUUCCUUCGCUGUCAUUUAAAAAUUUAUACUUUAUUCCUUUAUAAAAUAAAAAAUAUUCACUUCGUCCCUUGCCGUUAGUAAGCCGUUAGGGUUUCGUUUAUAAAAUAUUAUUAUAUAUUUUUUUAUACUAAAAAUGCCCUCAGCUUUCUCUCCUGUGAACAUGAUGAGAGACAAAAUGAUGAGGGGCAAAAUAGUCACUUUAUCAUCACAGUUCACACCGUACUCUCUGUAAAUAUUUUUUAUUUUACAAUGAGUCAAAGUGUAAGUUUUUAAAUGACAGAAAGGAGAAGUGAAAAAUCAGAUUUUGACAGAAGAAUUUUCUGUAAUUUAGCCUAUAAUAUUAUUUGAUAAAAUACUACUUGAGUGAUGUUAUUGGGUAAAAUUAGAAAUUUUAAGU